rnacentral:rRNA from 1 species
AGAGUUCGAUCCUGGCUCAGGAUGAACGCUGGCGGCGUGCUUAACACAUGCAAGUCGAACGAGAAAUGAAGAUGGAAACCUUCGGGCGGAAGCCUUCAUUUCGAGUGGCGGACGGGUGAGUAACGCGUGGGUAACCUGCCUCAUACAGGGGGAUAACAGUUGGAAACGACUGUUAAUACCGCAUAAGACCACAGCACCGCAUGGUGCGGGGGUAAAAACUCCGGUGGUAUGAGAUGGACCCGCGUUCGAUUAGCCAGUUGGCGGGGUAACGGCCCACCAAAGCGACGAUCGAUAGCCGAUCUGAGAGGAUGACCGGCCACAUUGGGACUGAGACACGGCCCAAACUCCUACGGGAGGCAGCAGUGGGGAAUAUUGCACAAUGGGGGAAACCCUGAUGCAGCGACGCCGCGUGAGUGAAGAAGUAUUUCGGUAUGUAAAGCUCUAUCAGCAGGGAAGAUAAUGACAGUACCUGACUAAGAAGCCCCGGCUAACUACGUGCCAGCAGCCGCGGUAAUACGUAGGGGGCAAGCGUUAUCCGGAUUUACUGGGUGUAAAGGGAGCGUAGACGGAAUGGCAAGUCUGAAGUGAAAUACCCGGGCUCAACCUGGGAACUGCUUUGGAAACUGUUGUUCUAGAGUGUUGGAGAGGUAAGUGGAAUUCCUGGUGUAGCGGUGAAAUGCGUAGAUAUCAGGAAGAACACCGGAGGCGAAGGCGGCUUACUGGACAAUAACUGACGUUGAGGCUCGAAAGCGUGGGGAUCAAACAGGAUUAGAUACCCUGGUAGUCCACGCUGUAAACGAUGAAUACUAGGUGUCGGGGUGCAAAGCAUCUCGGUGCCGUCGCUAACGCAAUAAGUAUUCCACCUGGGGAGUACGUUCGCAAGAAUGAAACUCAAAGGAAUUGACGGGGACCCGCACAAGCGGUGGAGCAUGUGGUUUAA